UCUGGUUCUGAUUUUAACUAAGAAAAGAUUGGGAGUUAAUUAUCACUCACUCCUUCCCUUUUCCUUUUCACGCUAAGCAGCUCUAACCCCUUUCUCAUCCUCUCUGCAUUUCACCGACUCAUAAACGAAGCAAGCACACUCACAUGCACGGAGAAGAAAUCUAAGAAAGAGAGGCAGCGUCGAUGGAAGAGGAAGACGCGCUAGAACUGGUAGGCCGCGCUGCUGCUGUCGCCGCGCCAUCGAGUCGUCGCCGCCGAACCGCCUACGAGUAACAGAACCGCGAAGAAUAAGAGUGCACGAAGAGAGACAGGGAGCCGAUUAUGCCACCACCGCCGCGUUCUGCCGCCGUUCCCCGUCACCACUCGUAUUGCCGGCGCCGUCCUCGUCUGAACCGUCGCCAGAUCCGCCGCCGUUUAAGUCGCGAACAGGAGAACGCACGCGAAGGAAACCAUCGCGGAGCUCCUCGCCGCCGCUGCUGGCACCGGAAAACCAUGGCUGCAGCCGCCAGAGGACGCCCCUGCAGCUGCCAAACCCCAUCCCCUUCCAGUUUGGGUUCCGGCUCUGGUUCGUUUAUGCUGGGUUUUGUUCCCCUGAGUGUCGGAGCCGCCAUUCUCUUGUGAGUUCUUCCUCUGCUGGUUAAAGUCGCCGCUGUUGGAGCUUGCCGGAGUUAACCGCUGGAGCUGUGGCUGUGCUGUACUUAGUUUCUUGUUGGUAGAAGUAGCUGUGGUUGCUACAAAAGUGGUUUAGAGUUGAGGAUGAGACUGCCGCAUUGUGGGCCGAGAGGAAAACUGAGUUUAUCGCGUAGCUAAGUCGUAAACGAGAUUUACCUUUUCAGGAACCGGAUGAAGAAGCAUUAAGAAGAGUUAUACUGCGUUUGGUUUAUAUGCUGUUAUAUUGAUUAGAUUAUUUUUUUUCCCUCGUCUUUGUUAUUACAAGUUUGUAAGAGGGAUAGGAAUUGUAUGUUUUAUAUGUAUAAUAUAUUGAAUUAUUAUGUAAGGAGUCUUGUAUAUGAAUGUAUGCCUGUUUUGUAUUUUUCUUAAGAUAAAGUAUUUAUUUAUGGUUUUCAAAGAAAUCAGCGAUAUAGUGUCGAAUCACAGGCUCCUAUUUUAUUAUUUAGUAUGUAAAGUGGUUGUAACACUUCUUGCUAUCAGAAUAGUGCAGCCGGAAGCGUGACUUCUGAUAGAGAGGGUGUUACAGCAACUGUAAAUAUGCAUUUGGAUAACUAUCCACUUCAGAAAUCACUUUAAAAUUCGGGCACAAUUUCAAGAAUUAUUUUGAGAUUUAACUCGUAAACUAUUUACGUAACUCAAGUUGGUUCAUCCUCCCCAUCUUUUGCAAUAUAAUGAUACAUUGUAUCCCUUAAGAUGGGGACUAAUUCCCUCUAAAAACGAGGUGAAAAGGGGAAAAGGUCAACAAUUUUUCUC